GUGAAUCAUCAAAUUUUUGAACGCAAAUUGCACUCUCUGGGAUUCCGGAGAGUAUGCCUGUGUGAGGGUCAGUAUAAUCAAAAUCGUAGCGGUGCUUUUUGGGUGACGCACCGGAGUUGGGGCCACUUUAACUCUUUUGUUUUAGAGACCUAAAAUUAACAUUCUUUUUUGCUCACUUUUGUGACGGACAUAAUUUUUUUUUUAUUCGUCUACCCUGGUGUCUAAAAUUUUAUUAGAUCGUGA
rnacentral:misc_RNA from 1 species